UGGGGAAUAUUGGACAAUGGGCGAAAGCCUGAUCCAGCCAUGCCGCGUGUGUGAAGAAGGUCUUCGGAUUGUAAAGCACUUUAAGUUGGGAGGAAGGGCAGUAAGCGAAUACCUUGCUGUUUUGACGUUACCGACAGAAUAAGCACCGGCUAACUCUGUGCCAGCAGCCGCGGUAAUACAGAGGGUGCAAGCGUUAAUCGGAAUUACUGGGCGUAAAGCGCGCGUAGGUGGUUCGUUAAGUUGAAUGUGAAAGCCCCGGGCUCAACCUGGGAACUGCAUCAAAAACUGGCGAGCUAGAGUAGGGCAGAGGGUGGUGGAAUUUCCUGUGUAGCGGUGAAAUGCGUAGAUAUAGGAAGGAACACCAGUGGCGAAGGCGACCACCUGAGCUCAUACUGACACUGAGGUGCGAAAGCGUGGGGAGCAAACAGG
rnacentral:rRNA from 1 species